rnacentral:lncRNA from 1 species
GCCAGUGCUUUCGCGCCCUCAACACAACUUUUAUCAGGUGGAUACUCUAUCCUUUUGAGUUUUGAUUUAAAGUUUUAAGUUCUAUGCACUAAUGUACGUUGUGAUCAAUGAUAUUUACACUAUCAGGUUGAUCUUGACAUGGUAUAAUAAGUUAAAUUGAAUUGAUAGUCUAAAAAGACUUUACAAUAUCAGUGCAUAUAACUUAAAUCCUUUUAUUUAUCUCAACUUUAGCAUUAUUUUGAUGUUAUCGAACAUGAACAUCAAGUCUAUCUUUCUUUUUUUCUGUUUAUUGCAGGGACCAAAUUACUUCGAGGUUGAUCUUGACAUUCAUCGCUUCAGCUACAUUGCAAGAAAGGGACUAGAUUCUUUUAGGGAGCGUUUAGGAUUCGGGAUACUGGAUCUUGGUCUAACAAUUCAGGUUUCCCUUUAUUUUACUUGUUAUAUAUCAGCAAGAAUUGAAUAUAUAAGGAUUGAGGAAGUUAGCUUUGAUUUAGGCUUGUCAAGAUGAUAUAUUUAUUGAUUAGAUCAACAAUACACCUUUUUUUUAAAAACAUUAUUAGUGUAGAUUACUUAAUACUUGUCACAUUAUGAUUCAAUAAUGUAAAUUUUAUCAAUCAGUGCAUGAAACUUAAAUUCAUGGAUAAAUAAUGAAGGCGCAAAAGCCAAAGGAAUUACCGGAG